UACGUAGGCAGCAAGCGUUGUUCGGAUUUACUGGGCGUAAAGGGCGCGUAGGCGGUCAGCACAAGUCAGUUGUGAAAUCUCCGGGCUUAACUCGGAAAGGUCAACUGAUACUGUGCGACUAGAGUGCAGAAGGGGCAACUGGAAUUCUCGGUGUAGCGGUGAAAUGCGUAGAUAUCAAGAGGAACACCUGAGGUGAAGACGGGUUGCUGGGCCGACACUGACGCUGACAGCGCGAAAGCCAGGGGAGCAAACGGG
rnacentral:rRNA from 1 species